rnacentral:lncRNA from 1 species
CCCAUCCCGGACGUCACGGAGGAGCCGAGGCGGCGGUGGCGGCCCAGGACUCAGGCUGCACUUGCAUCAUGGGUGCAGCAGCAGCUGCCCCGCUCCUUUGUGCCUUUUUCCCCCUAUUGAGUAACUGCUUUGUUAACCGAAAAUACCAUGACGGACCAGUGUGAUCACCAGUUCCAGACCUCAAAGAAAGUGAAGCUGUCAGGCAAGAAGAGGGAGACUUCCCCCAGCCGGCUGUGAUGGGCUUGAGUUUGAGCCGGGGCCUCAUGCACACUAGGAGAGCCCCCUACCACUGAGCUACACCCCCGGUCCUCCACCAGCCUCUUCACUGGCCUCGUUAGCCUCACCAGACCAUUUUACACAACCCUGUGUAUCUCUGAUCUAUCUUCAGAUACGUGCUGCUAAAGUUUCAACAGUUUGUAGAGGUUUUUGGAAGCACCUACCCCAAGACAGAUGCAUGGAUACUAAAAACUGUGUUGGUUGCACAUAAUCUGAAGAAUUGGUUAUGCAUUCUGUAACAUCCAUUAGCUACUCUAUGAUUGAGCCAUCUUCCCUCUAAUCCCCUCAAGUUUCCCUUUCUGGAUCUGUGAAUAGAAAUAUCUGAGUCUCCCAGGACGUUUUCAAUGAGCAACACUGUGAUGUUCUGCAGCACUGACUUAGAGGACCUGUCUGGAUUUCUUGCUGGAGCCAGAGCAGAAUAAGGCUCUGGGAUGGCAUUUCGGGCAUUUCUCCUGUCUUUCUUCUCUGAGAUGCCCGGCAUCUUUGGAGACAGUUCCCAUAUACAGGGAAGAACCAUGUGAAGAUGUUCCCGGAUCAGUUCUUCAUUUCAGCAGCUUAGGAAGGGAUAGUCUGUAUUUCAGAUGUCUUCCUAAUCAAGGUGUGUGCAGCGUCAGUGAUGAGACACUGGGCAUCUCUGUGCAUGAAGCCCUGCUUUGGCUGGCUAAACUCUUUGAUGUCCUGAUUUGUAUGUCUCCCUCGUGCUUCAGGAAAACCACCAGUUCAGGCACGUCAUCUAGCACAUGGCUGUCAGAGAGAACUUCCAUACAAGACUCCUUUGCUCUUCCCUUAUCGAUUACCCACCUGAGCUGGAAGGAGAGGGUUUCCACUCAUGAUGCUGUAAGAUCAAUCUUCUAAAGACUCAAGAACAAUAACCAGUUGCUGGAAGGAAGAGUGUUCCGGCCUGCUACACAGACAUAUUGACACAUAUGCGAGGAGACUGGAGCCCAAAGGAAAGUGAGAGCAAAAUCUGGCAAGAUUUGAGAGAAGAGGAAGACUAAAUUGCAGGAAAGGGGAAAGCUUUGUAUUUUCCUUAAAAGAUAGUAAAAUUGCCCAGCAGUGGUGGCAAAUAUCAUCAAUCCCAGCACUCAGGAGGCAGAGACAGGUAGAUCUCUGAGUUCAAAUCCAGCCUGGUCUACAGAGCUAGUUCCAGGACAGCUAAGGCUACACAGAAAAACCCUGCCUGGAAAAUAAAAACAAAUGAACAAAAAGUAAUAAAAUUAGGGCACACAGAAAUAUAGGGAAGGAAAAAUAUUACUGUCAGGUAGAAAGUAUAUUUGGCUUGCAAUUAACUGAAUUUUGGUUCAAUUUUCUCUAAUUCCUAGUUUCAUCUGUAAAAUGUAGGAUACUAAUAGCAAAACUUUGCUUCAGGAUUUUUUACGGUUAAAAAGGAUUAGUUACAUGCAAAUUCUCUGGCCAGCCCCUGGGUUGCCAAGCCUGUGUAGAAGACAUUGGAGACAACACCAAGCUGUGUGCUGAAGACUUGUCCUGCUCCUAUUAUUUGUUAAUUGUCUGGGAAAGUCUUAAAAAAUUGCUCAACCUUAGUUACUUCUUCUGUAAAAUAGGGACAAUUAUCACAGCAAUUUUAUAGGAACCAUUUAAAGAAGAAACAAGCUAGUUCAUAUAGAGUAAAAUAUUUGGUGCCGAAGUUCCUGCUGUUGAAUGACCACUGCAGAUGGCCAAGGAUUGACAGAGCUGCUGCUCUUGCAGGGACCCAGGAUUUGGUUCCUAAUAUCCAUAACAGCAAGUGUUCACAAUUGCCUGUAACUCUACUUCCAGGGGACACUGAGCUGUCUUCUGCCUCUGAGAACACUUGCACAAUACACUGGAAAUAAAAUGGAAAUAAUUAAAAAUAGUAUUUUUUUGUAUCUCUGUGAGUUUGUGGCCAACCUGGUCUAUUGAUCGAGUACCAGGACUGACAAGACUAUACAGAGAAACUGUCUUGAAAAAAAUAAAACAAGCUAGCCAAACAAGCAAACAAAAAGCCAAAAAGAAAAAGAAAAGGAACAAUUCCUUAAAAUUAAAAAAAAAGAUGUUUUGGUAUGUGCCUGUGUGUGUACAUCUGUGUGUCUGUGUGCACAGGUUCAUGUGCACAUGUUUGCAGAGGCCAGAGGUCAAUGUCUGCUGUCUUUCUCAAUUGCUCUCCACCUUAUUUUUAAGACAGGGUCUCUCACUGAACCUGGAACUAGCUGAUUUGCUAGACUGUCCACCCAACAAGUCCCUGAGACCAUCUUGUCUCAGUAUCCCCAGAGCUGGGGGACUGAUUAUAAGCAUGCCCCUGGCUUUUUCAGGUGAAUGUUGGGGAUCCAACUCAAUUUCUUUACCAACUGAGCUAUCUCUCCAACCCCUACUGCUAUCUUCUUUUUUAGAAGGUACAGAGGAUCCAGUGGUAAUUUUGAGCGGAGGGUAAUGGGUUGGCUGAAAGAUGGGAUGAGGAACGAGUGUGGUAAAGAGGGGCUAUAAUCUGUUGGUGGUUUCUAAAUGGAACUGAGUGGUGAAGGGCUGAGGAGAGACCAAAAAGAGAGUAAGACUAAUCAAAAUAUCAGUAACUGCUGGUUAGAGACUCGAGAACUCGAUGAGCAACCAUCAUAGGAGGGGUGGAGAAAAGCUACUCAUAUACACUCAUAUACUGGAGAUGCAGUUUUCAAACCCCAGUGUGUGUGACUCACCUGGGGAACCAGAAUGUGGAUUCUCCUCUAGUUGGUCUGGAUGGACCCAGAGAUGCUGCCAUUAUUAACCAAAUCUCAAGAAGUGCAGAGGAUGCAUAAGUCACACCAGCAAGGAUGCUAAGGGUCAUGAGGAGAAAAAAAAAGAGUUUUGCUUGUUUGUUUGGUUGUCUUUUUUUUUUUUUAAGGAACUAAAUCAAGACAAAAAAAAAAACAAAAACUUACCAUACUAAGUUUGGUUUCCUGAAUUUGGCAUUAUGGGAUGUAGAAUAGUGUGAUGAUGAAAGGUUAGAUUAAUUUUCAGAUCAGGAUUAACCCUUUCUCCACAAUUAUUAGAAAGAUGAUUCUGGGUUUUUUGACCUUUGCUCUCUGGUUUCUAACUGAGAGGUUGCAGAGACUAGAUCACAAGACUGCUGCAUUGAUUAAUGGAGACACUCUGUUGUAAAAACAGGGGUGAUACUUACUGAAGGAAUAAAAAUCCUCUCUGUAGAUUUCACACAAUGUAAAGAGUAACUCAGCUCCUGGAGAGGCCCGUCUGGGCCUUUUCACAUUCAACUUUUCUGUUAG